rnacentral:rRNA from 1 species
UACGGAGGGUGCAAGCGUUGUUCGGAAUCACUGGGCGUAAAGGGCGCGUAGGCGGCCUGCUAAGUCGAACGUGAAAUCCCUGGGCUCAACCCAGGAACUGCGUCCGAUACUGGUUGGCUUGAAUCCGGGAGAGGGAUGUGGAAUUCCAGGUGUAGCGGUGAAAUGCGUAGAUAUCUGGAGGAACACCGGUGGCGAAGGCGACAUCCUGGACCGGUAUUGACGCUGAGGCGCGAAAGCCAGGGGAGCAAACGGG